rnacentral:rRNA from 1 species
AACCAGCACCUCAAGUGGUCAGGAUGAUUAUUGGGCCUAAAGCAUCCGUAGCCGGCUCUGUAAGUCUCCGGUUAAAUCCAUCUACUCAAGGGAUGGGCUGCCGAAGAUACUGCAGAGCUAGGGAGUGGGAGAGGUAGACGGUACUCGGUAGGAAGGGGUAAAAUCCUUUGAUCUAUUGAUGACCACCUGUGGCGAAGGCGGUCUACCAGAACAUGUUCGACGGUGAGGGAUGAAAGCUGGGGGAGCAAACCGG